rnacentral:lncRNA from 1 species
GCCAUAGGAUUGCCAAUUGGGCAUUCACAAUCCGCUAAGGUUAGUAUGUGUUAUGUUGACUUAAGCGUGAGUAUGACUAGUCUCAAGUCAUUUAGUGUUGUACACUAAGACAAACACAUAGGUGCUCGAAAGAGUAAUCGAGUACACUGAACAACGAUCAAAGAGAGUUCGAACAUACAUGUCAUGUAUGAACUCUAAAGUUGCAAUAUGCAAAGUAGUCAUUUGACCUGAGGCAUCAUAGAUGUCUAAUGGUUAGGUCCUUGAUCUUUGAUCAAGUCAACGGCAUUCCAUCGGAGUGUCCACGGCAUUGUUGGGGUCAAGCUAUCUAAUCGUGUAGGCAUAUGAAUGCACAACAAGGGAUCUCUAACCUUCCAUGGUGGAAGGAGAAUACUCUAAGAUAUGAUUCUAAAGUCUUUGGCCAAAGCAUAUGAAUAUGACUUAGGAAGUUUGUUCCAAAUCAUAUUCAAGGGAAUCAUAUAGAUAUGUAUCACAUUGGAUAGUAGACAUGAAACAAACUAUCACUCAAACAAUGUGAUUAAGAGUAUUGUAUUAGAGAAGGACCGUAUUGCGUUGUAGUUGUAACUGGAUAGGUUCUCCAACCAAUUCUACUUAGCUUGGGUAACCAUGACAUACUGCUAGGUGUCACUCAUGGUUUAUGGAAGCCCUAAUGACUAGCAAACACUAAUCAAUAAAGGGAGAAUUGAAAUGUGGUUUCAAUUCACAAUCGAUCGUUAAGAGUAACAAUCGCCCACUACCUCGCUAAAUGGAACCUAAUGGAUCGUACACCGAGUAAGGGUGAUAGUGAAGAAAUUAAAUGAAAUGGAUAUGAAAUUAAAUGGUUUAAUUGAAGAAUGGUCAAGAUUAAUUAAUUAGUUAAUUAAUUUUACGAAAGGUUCGUAUUGGGCUUUUAAGUUGGUUUUGGGUUUCGGGGCCCAAAAGCGUUUUGGUCCACAAGGCCCAUUAUGUUUAAGUUGUAUGACAACUAAAACAAAAUGGGCAAUAAGCCCAAUCACUUACAAGGGGCCGGCCAUAAGGGGUGAGUGUGAGACUUUGCUUAAUUGCAAGUUUGCCACUCACCAAAUGUAAUGAAGUAUAAAAGCAACUUUAUAGCUUUAUUUUCAUUAGGGUUUUCUUUGAGGCAAAGAGGUGAAACAUUUUCUCUCUUUCUCUCUACAAAGAGGCCGGCCACUUAGGGAAGAUUUAGCUAGCAAUCUUUUCUUCUCUAAGUCAUCCAUUUUAUCUUCACAAGAUACAUCCUUGGUGUGGAGACUUAGAGACAUCAAAUUUUGGUGUUUUGGAGAACAAAUCCUCAAAUCCUCAAAGAAGCAAAGGAGCACUAAAAGGAGGAAAAUCACAAGGAAUAUCCAAGGAGCUUGGAGGUGACUUGAAGGCCCUCCACUUGGGUGAAUCCCUUGUGUAAACAAGGAUGAGCUUCAAGGGUAAAGAAACUCUAAAUCUUUACACUCUUUAAUGUUGUUAAAGAGUUUAUUGGUUCACCAUAUACUAGGCUUUGAAAGUCAUGGGUUUUAUGAAUUGUUUUUUAAUGCAUGCCUACUUUAAAGUGUUAAUAGCUUGCAUAUGUAUUCAAAUGUUCUUACUUGUUCUUAGCUAGGACAAAAUUUUUCCUUCAAGUGGUAUCAGAGCCUAGGCCUAGUUUAUGGUGAAUCCUUUUGGGUUUUGUGAUUUUCAUGAUUUGUGAUUUAAAUGUUGUAAAUGUUACAAGCUUUGUUCUUGCUUUUGAAUAUAUAAAUUUUGCUAGAAAAUUUAGCAUCUCAAAUGUUGUAGAUGUAUUUCAUUUAAGCAUGAAUAUUGGAACUAAAAUUUGGUGCCAUGUAUUUUGGAAAAUUCGGCCAAAUCCAAAGGGUGAUUUUUUGGGUUCAUGUUUGUCUUGUUAAAAUGGUUUUAAGGUGACUUUUGGAACCCCUAAGUACCCUAGGAUAUUAGCCCUCUUUUGAGUGGUGAAAAUUUGAGUUUGGUGAGUGAAAAACAUUCAUGAAGCUAUUAUGAGUUUUCAUGGUGUUCUUCAAUGUUCUUGAAGUUCUUGCCAAGAACAAAAAGGUUUUGAAGUUUUGAUUCAAAAGUUUUAUGUUUUUCAUAAAGUUUUGUUUUAUUUUUUAUGGGUGAUAGUUAUUGGUGAAGCAUUAAUUUUGGCUUUAAUGUUUGUCUAAACUCAUUAAUGUUUUACAAAACAUUUUCUUACAAACCAUCAAUUUCACCUUUACCUCACCCACCAAAAUCAAGUUGCAUAAAAUCCCUUUCACACUCAUUCACACUCUAAAACCGGCCACCCCCUAGUGGGGGUACUUUUGGGGUCUUUUAUGCAAUUACAUAAAGUUUUGAUACUUUUGUGUAUUUGCACUUUUGCCCAAAAGUUUACGUUUUUACGUUAAAGCCCAAAAACUCUAAAGGACGAAUUGUUUUGAUCCUUUAAUGAUGUUUUUACAUUAAUAAAAUUUUGGGAUCUAGUUGUAAUUACAUGAAGCUGUGGACUAUUGUGUUUUUACAAAGUGACCCCAAAAGUUUUUGUAUUUGCAUUAUGGCCCAAUUGUUGUGGUCAUAGUUUCCUUUUGGCCCAAAUAAAAUGAGAACAAAAUUGUUUUGUCUCUUUAAUGAGAAUUGGAUUUUCAUUUCAUUUAGUUCCAUUUAAAUCAAUUCUAUGGAUCCAAAAACCAAUUGUUUAAGUUGCUUUCUUAGUUAAUGUGAUUAAUUAAGAAAAUGGUGAUUAUGAAUCAAAGGCCUCGAUAAUUGAGCUAUGUGAUUGGCCGCUUUACAUUAUGAAUGUUUGGGUUUGGUAGAGUAGUUUUGAAUGUAAUUUGAUUAAUUCAAUUUGUUGUAAAUGGACAUAAGUCCAUCAUUUGUGUUGUAAAAGGGCAUAAGCCCUUCUUAUUAUUUCAUGUAUUCCUUUUGUUUAUAUGUAUGCAAAAUGGAAUAGUUGGGUCCAACUCCCAAUAGGAAAUAACGGUUUAAUUGGAUUAAACGCGUAACUAAAAUCAACAACUAUCUACCUUAAACCCAAGGUCCAACACAAGGCUUGUGUUGGAUUAAAUUAAUCGGUUCAUAAUCAUCCCAAAACCUAAUAUGACUAUAUAGUCCAUAUGAGGAUGCAAUGCAUUCGUUAGUAGUUCCAUAUAGUCUCACUUAUUUUCUUCGAAAUAGUGGGAGUAUUAUAAACUACUAAUUCAUAUUAAAUUUGGACCAAUGGUUGUGAUAGGCCCAAGUUCUUUUAAUAUGAUUAAAAUGAUUUUGAUGUAGCCCAAAACUACUCCCUCAACAAACGAAUAUUAAGUUGAUAAGCGAGAGAUGUUUUGAACAUCUCUUCGUAGGCCUUCCACCGUGGUGGGCUCCAAUCGUUUGUGACUCAUGCACCGGAUUCACCCUAUCAUGGGGGAGUUCAAAGUAUGUGCUUACAUCCAGGAGGAGUCCAUAAACAUAUGAUGAGAUGAGUGUAGGCAACGAGGAUAGCCGACAUCGUAUCAUCGUGAGGCUAUUCUUGAACCCCUUCACAAACUAAGCAUGGUGGGAAUAACUUAAACUAAGUGCAAUGGAGCCGACAUCGUAUCAUCGUGAGGCAACAUUCUCUAGAGGCCAAACGGAUGGGUAAUUACAAAAGGUUGUAAAUGAAUAAUGCGUUAUUCUCUCAUCAUUAUUUUUGCUAACCAACAUCGUAUCAUCGUGAGGUGGGCUUGGUAAUGGUGAGUCUCCCAUACCCCGCUAAGAGUUCAAUAUAACUCUCGAAUUCUAUUGAGGGAUGUGGAAUUUGCCAAAAAUAGUGGGUGGUACUAUUUGAUUAAAAGACCCAAUCAAAUAGUUUUAAACAAACAAUCUAAUAUGAUUUCUGUUAUGUUAUGUAGUUAACGACAUGCCUAAAAUUAUACCCACCAUUAUACUUGACAAAAGGGGCCUUAAGGGCCAACAUUUCCUUGCUUGGUAUCGCCACAUUGAGAAUGUCUCAAAGGUGAAAGACAUAUUGUAUGUGCUUAAGCAAUCCCCUCCUCAUGUACCUCCUACGAAACUAGCUUCAAAGGAGGAGUGUCAAAAUUAUGUUAGACACUAUGAGGAUGACUUACAAGCCAAAUGCUUAAUCCUCACUUCACUUAGUGAGGAGCUUAUGAAGCUACAUAAGCACAUGGACACUUCUUGUGCCAUGGUUGAAAGUUUGCAUAAGAUGCAUGACAUUGAGACUAGUAAUGUACGAUUCUCAAAUGUUUGUAGUCUAAUGAAUGCCAAAAUGGCAAAGGGGACAUCGGUCCAUAAAACAUGGACAAAAGAUGGAAAGGAUAUUUCUAAAGAUCUUAAAAGUUUAGGAACUUCCAUCGAUGGGAAAAUGGCCCAAGACUUUUUCCUUGCAUCUCUCUCGGAUGAUUUCACUAAGUUUAUUGUAAACUAUAAAGUGAAUAGAUUCGAUCAUUCUUUAAAAGAGAUGAUUGACAUGUGCUGUAAAUUUGAAAAAGGUUUCAAAAGGGACAGUGGGAGUGAGAAUGCAAUCACAAGGAAAAGGUUGCAUAAGAAGAAGGCAAAGAAAUCCAAAGGAACAUGCUUUCAUUGUGGAAGGAUGAACGUUGGAAGAAGAAAUACAGGGUGCGCAUUGCGAGCCUUAUGACACGAACUUUUGAAGAGACUAUUUCUGUCAUAGAGAGUGCUUUUACAGUGAGCUCCAAUUCCUGGAUAUUUGAUUCAGGCGCUAGUCAACAUAUCUGCAAUACGUUGCAGGGACUAGCAGGGAGCAGGUCACUGCGCAAUGGGGAGAUGGUUGUGCGAGUUGGGAACGGCACUAAAAUCUCUGCAAAAGCAAUAGGCACCUACAUGCUUAACCUACCCUCUGGGGAAGUCCUGGAACUUAAAAAUUGUUUAUAUUUUCCUUCAUGUAUAAAGAAUUUGAUUUCUAUCUCUAAGCUUUUACGAGAUGGGCACUCAGUAUUGUUUGACAAAAUGAGUUGCACUUUAUACUUGAACGGUCGUAUUAUCUCUCAUGGUAAUAUGAUAGAGGGACUUUUUCACCUAGAGACGAAUAGUGGGAUGCACUGUAUUGCAAGCGGAAUACCUCAAAACCCAAAAGGGCUAGAGAAGAAGUUAACCAAGAAAAGAUGUGGCAUCUUAAACUUGGACAUGUGAACCUUGAUAAGAUUCACAAGAUGUCGAAAGACGGAUAUAUCCGCCCAUUAGGUAAUGACCAGAUGGGUACUUGUGAAUGUUGCUUGAAAGGGAAGAUGACCAAAUCUCCAUUUACUGGAAAAGAGAGCGUGCCACUGAAAUUCUAGGGUUAAUCCACACUGACGUAUGUGGACCUAUGUCUACUACGUCGAGAGGAGGCUUCUCCUACUAUAUCACAUUCACCGACGAUCACUCUCGGUUUGGCUAUGUGUAUCUUAUGAAGUACAAGUCAGAAUCCUUUGAAAGGUUCAAGGAAUUCAAGAAUGAAGUUGAGAAGCAAACUGGGAAACAGAUAAAGAUCCUAAGAUCGGAUCGAGGGGGUGAAUAUCUGAGUAAUGAGUUCCUAGAUUAUCUCAAAGAGUGUGGAAUAAUAUCACAGUGGACUCCACCAGGAACUCCACAACUUAAUGGAGUUUCUGAAAGGAGAAAUCGAACCUUGAUGAACAUGGUUCGUUCUAUGAUGAGUUCCGCUGAUCUACCAGUAACAUUCUGUGGAUACGCUCUAUAUACAGCAGCUUACUUGCUUAAUAGAGUACCUUCCAAAUCAGUUUCACAAACGCCCUAUGAGAUAUGGCAUGGAAGAAAGCCAAGUCUUAAUCAUGUUAAGAUUUGGGGUUGUGAAGCAUAUGUCAAGAAGCUUGAAGCUACUAAGCUCGAAGCGAGAUCUGUGAGGUGCUACUUUGUGGGGUAUUCCAAACAGACUUUGGGAUACGAAUUCUAUAACCUGACGACAAGAAAGUCUUUGUCGCCUGAACUGCUAUGUUCCUUGAGGACGAAUUCGUUCUCAAUGGAAGUAGCGAGAAAAUGAUAGAAUUGAAGGAAAUUAAUGAGAUUAAUGAUGAACCACAAACAAGCACUCAACAGGUUGACAACCCUGUUCCUGAACCCCUAGCUCCACGUAGAUCUGAACGGGUUAGUAAGCCACCUAAGAGGUAUGGCUUAGACAAUGACUUUGCGGAAUUGCACCUUCUAGGUGACAAUGACACAAAGGAGGACCCUAGGGACUACACUGAAGCAAUGUCCGACAUUGAUUCAAAGAGAUGGCAAGAGGCCAUGAAAUCCGAGAUGGAUUCCAUGUAUCAAAAUCAGGUCUGGACUCUUGUAGACCCUCCAGAAGGUAUUGUACCUGUUGGAAACAAAUGGGUCUUCAAGAGGAAGAUAGGCGUUGAUGGGAACGUGGAGACUUAUAAGGCUAGAACUCGUAGCCAAGGGUUACAGGCAAAGAGAAGGGAUUGACUAUGAAGAAACUUUCUCUCCUGUAGCCAUGAUUAAGUCCAUUCGGAUUUUGCUUGCUAUAGCUGCGUACUAUGAUUAUGAAAUCUGGCAAAUGGACGUGAAGACGGCCUUUCUGAACGGCUACCUAGAGGAAGAGCUUUACAUGGCUCAACCCGAAGGUUUCGUGUCCAAGUCUGAAAAGACUAAAGUAUGCAAGCUUCAGAGGUCCAUUUAUGGACUUAAGCAAGCCUCCAGGAGCUGGAACAUUCGUUUUGAUACUGAAAUCAAAUCGUUUGGUUUUACUCAAAACGAAGACGACAAUUGUGUUUAUCAAAAGGUCGUUGGGGAUGCAGUUGUAUUCCUAGUGUUAUAUGUAGAUGACAUAUUACUAUUCGGGAAUGACACUGCAGUACUUUCUUCUGUAAAAGUGUGGUUGUCCAAAACCUUCCACAUGAAAGAUUUAGGAGAUGCAUCUUAUGUACUUGGGAUAAAGCUCUAUCGUGAUAGAUCCAGAAAAUUAAUUGGAUUAUCCCAAUCUAUGUACAUUGAUAAGGUGCUAAGUAGGUUCCAGAUGGAACAGUCUAAGAAAGGUUUUCUUCCUGUUAGACAUGGAAUUCACCUUUCUAAGUCCAUGGAACCUAAGACUCCUGAAGAGAUACGGCAAAUGAAUGUUAUUCCUUAUGCUUCCGCCAUAGGGAGUCUCAUGUAUGCCAUGAUAUGCACAAGGCCUGAUAUCGCAUAUGCUGUGAGCAUUACUAGUCGAUAUCAAUCUAACCCAGGAUCAGAACACUGGGCAGCUGUCAAGACGGUCCUUAAGUACUUAAGAAGAACUAAGGACAUGUUUCUCGUUUAUGGAGGAGCAACAGAGUUGCGAGUGGAAGCUUAUACAGACGCAGAUUUCCAAUCUGACGUCGAUGAUAAGAGUUCCAACUCCGGAUAUGUAUUCACUCUGAAUGGUGGGGCUGUCAGUUGGAAAAGCAAGAAACAAAGUGUAAUUGCUGAUUCCACGACAGAGGCUGAAUAUGUCGUUGCAGCUGAAGCCGGCAAAGAAGCGUUCUGGAUGAAGAAGUUCAUCACUGAACUUGGAGUGGUUCCAACCAUUACAUCACCAGUAACUUUGUACUAUGAUAAUAGUGGGACGAUAGCUCAAGCCAAGGAACCCAGGGCACAUCAAAAGAACAAGCAUUUUGACAGGCACUUUAAUAUCAUUAGAAGAUAUGCUGCCAAGGGGAAAGUCAACAUCCUCAAAGUUGCUUCAACCGAUAACGUAGCAGAUCCACUGACAAAGCCAAUGUCUCAAAUCCAGCUUGACCGUCAUAUGGAAAAGAUGGGUAUUAGAUACAUGGGAAGAUAGCUUUGAGUGCAAGUGGAAGAUUGUUGGAAGUAUGCCCACAAAGCCACUCAUUUGAUGUAAUAGCUUUUGGAAUACUUAAUGUAUUAAACUUUUAUAUGUUUAAUAAAGGGCAAAGCUUAUUGUUAAUCACUAUUUAUUGUAUCAUGUGUUUAAGCAAUAAGGGAAUCCAAGGGAUGUAUUUGAUCUAAGAGACAAGUGAUCUAAGUGAGUUAGAUUAUCGAGACCAUUCUCUUAUGUUCAUUCCUAAAACGUUCCUAGCCAUAGGAUUGCCAAUUGGGCAUUCACAAUCCGCUAAGGUUAGUAUGUGUUAUGUUGACUCAAGCAUGAGUAUGACUAGUCUCAAGUCAUUUAGUGUUGUACACUAAGACAAACACAUAGGUGCUCGAAAGAGUAAUCGAGUACACUGAACAACGAUUAAAAGAGAGUUCGAACAUACAUGUCAUGUAUGAACUCUAAAGUUGCAAUAUGCAAAGUAGUCCUUUGACCUGAGGCAUCAUAGAUGUCUAAUGGUUAAGUCCUUGAUCUUUGAUCAUGUCAACGGCAUUCCAUCGGAGUGUCCACAGCAUUGUUGGGGUCAAGCUAUCUAGUCGUGUAGGCAUAUGAAUGCACAACAAGGGAUCUCUAACCUUCCAUGGUGGAAGGAGAAUACUCUAAGAUAUGAUUCUAAAGUUUUUGGCCAAAGCAUAUGAAUAUGACUUAGGAAGUUUGUUCCAAAUCAUAUUCAAGGGAAUCAUAUAGAUAUGUAUCACAUUGGAUAGUAGACAUGAAACAAACUAUCACUUAAACAAUGUGAUUAAGAGUAUUGUAUUAGAGAAUGACCGUAUUGCGUUGUAGUUGUAACUGGAUAGGUUCUCCAACCAAUUCUACUUAGCUUGGGUAACCAUGACAUACUGCUAGGUGUUACUCAUGGUUUGUGGAAGCCCUAAUGACUAGCAAACACUAAUCAAGAAAGGGAGAAUUGAAAUGUGGUUUCAAUUCACAAUCGAUCGUUAAGAGUAACAAUCGCCCACUGCCUCGCUAAAUGGAACGUAAUGGAUCGUACACCGAGUAAGGGUGAUAGUGAAGAAAUUAAAUGAAAUGGAUAUGCAAUUAAAUGGUUUAAUUGAAGAAUGGUCAAUAUUAAUUAAUUAGUUAAUUAAUUUUACGAAAGGUUCGUAUUGGGCUUUUAAGUUGGUUUUGGGUUUUAAUUGCAAGUUUGCCACUCACCAAAUGUAAUGAAGUAUAAAAGCAACUUUAUAGCUUUAUUUUCAUUAGGGUUUUCUUUGAGGCAAAGAGGUGAAACAUUUUCUCUCUUUCUCUCUACAAAGAGGCCGGCCACUUAGGGAAGAUUUAGCUAGCAAUCUUUUCUUCUCUAAGUCAUCCAUUUUAUCUUCACAAGAUACAUCCUUGGUGUGGAGACUUAGAGACAUCAAAUUUUGGUGUUUUGGAGAACAAAUCCUCAAAUCCUCAAAGAAGCAAAGGAGCACUAAAAGGAGGAAAAUCACAAGGAAUAUCCAAGGAGCUUGGAGGUGACUUGAAGGCCCUCCACUUGGGUGAAUCCCUUAUGUAAACAGGGAUGAGCUUCAAGGGUAAAGAAACUCUAAAUCUUUACAUCUCUUUAAUGUUGUUAAAGAGUUUAUUGGUUCACCAUAUACUAGGCUUUGAAAGUCAUGGGUUUUAUGAAUUGUUUUUUAAUGCAUGCCUACUUUAAAGUGUUAAUAGCUUGCAUAUGUAUUCAAAUGUUCUUACUUGUUCUUAGCUAGGACAAAAUUUUUCCUUCAGGAUGGGUAAUGAGGCCCAAUGUGUCAA